rnacentral:rRNA from 2 species
AACCAACAGGGAUUCCCCUAGUAACGGCGAGUGAAGCGGGAACAGCUCAAAUUUGAAAUCUGGCCCUUGGGUCCGAGUUGUAAUUUGCAGAGGAUGCUUUUGGUGCGGUGCCUUCCGAGUUCCCUGGAACGGGACGCCUUAGAGGGUGAGAGCCCCGUACGGUUGGCCACCAAGCCUGUGUAAAGCUCCUUCGACGAGUCGAGUAGUUUGGGAAUGCUGCUCAAAAUGGGAGGUAUAUUUCUUCUAAAGCUAAAUACUGGCCAGAGACCGAUAGCGCACAAGUAGAGUGAUCGAAAGAUGAAAAGCACUUUGAAAAGAGGGUUAAAUAGCACGUGAAAUUGUUGAAAGGGAAGGAUUUAUGACCAGACUUUUUCUAGGGGGAUCAUCCGGUGUUCUCACCGGUGCACUUCCCCUAGUUGAGGCCAGCAUCGGUUUCUGUCGGGGGAUAAAAGCUUCAGGAAUGUGGCUCCCUCCGGGGAGUGUUAUAGCCUGUUGCAUAAUACCCUGACGGGGACCGAGGUUCGCGCAUUGCAAGGAUGCUGGCGUAAUGGUUAUUAAUCACCCGUCUUGAAACACGGACCAAGGAGUCGAACAUUUGUGCGAGUGUUUGGGUGUUAAACCCUCACGCGUAAUGAAAGUGAACGGAGGUGAGAGCCCUUCGGGGUGCAUCAUCGACCGAUCCUGAUGUCUUCGGAUGGAUUUGAGUAAGAGCAUAACUGUUCGGACCCGAAAGAUGGUGAACUAUGCGUGGAUAGGGUGAAGCCAGAGGAAACUCUGGUGGAGGCUCGCAGCGGUUCUGACGUGCAAAUCGAUCGUCAAAUCUGCGCAUGGGGGCGAAAGACUAAUCGAACCAU